rnacentral:lncRNA from 1 species
AUCUUUAUCCAAAUAUUGGUGCACAAGAGUGGGCAUGAGAAGGGCUUUGCAUGAGAGAAAAUUCACGAGAAGUUUCUUCUCGUGAAUUCAAAUGGGCGUAGAGAUUUAAGAUGGUGCAGGGAUUCAAAUUCAAAUGGUGGUUUGAUCUUAAUUGAACCAACCUAAUCAAAAUAGGUUAAGCACAAUUAGACUAAAUUAAAUCUAACUUAAUUAGGCUUAAUUAGGCUCAAUAAAAUUCUAAUCAAAUCAAAAAUUGA